rnacentral:rRNA from 1 species
GACAGAGGGUGCAAACGUUGUUCGGAUUCAUUGGGCGUAAAGGGUGCGUAGGCGGCGCGGUAAGUCGGGUGUGAAAUUUCGAGGCUUAACUUCGAAACUGCAUUCGAUACUGCCGUGCUUGAGGACUGGAGAGGAGACUGGAAUUUACGGUGUAGCGGUGAAAUGCGUAGAUAUCGUAAGGAAGACCAGUGGCGAAGGCGGGUCUCUGGACAGUUCCUGACACUGAGACACGAAGGCCAGGGGAGCAAACGGGG